rnacentral:rRNA from 1 species
CCUACGGGUGGCAGCAGUGGGGGAUAUUGCACAAUGGGGGAAACCCUGAUGCAGCGACGCCGCGUGGGUGAAGAAGCGCCUCGGCGCGUAAAGCCCUGUCAGCAGGGAAGAAAAUGACGGUACCUAAAUAAGAAGCCCCGGCUAACUACGUGCCAGCAGCCGCGGUAAUACGUAGGGGGCAAGCGUUAUCCGGAAUUACUGGGUGUAAAGGGAGAGUAGGCGGCAAGGUAAGCGAUAUGUGAAAGCCUUAAGCUUAACUUAAGGAUGGCAUAACGAACUAUCUAGCUAGAGUACAGGAGAGGAAAGCGGAAUUCCUAGUGUAGCGGUGAAAUGCGUAGAUAUUAGGAAGAACACCAGUGGCGAAGGCGGCUUUCUGGACUGAAACUGACGCUGAGGCUCGAAAGCGUGGGGAGCGAACAGGAUUAGAUACCCCAGUAGUC